rnacentral:lncRNA from 1 species
CCCUGGCAUCUCACAGCCAAGGCGCUCCUUCCUCUCAAGGGUGAUCAGGGCAGCGCUACCAUUGCAACUGCUGCUGCUGCUGCUGCUGCUCCUGGCCUGCCUGCUGCCUGCCUCCGAAGAUGACUACAGCUGCACCCAGGCCAACAACUUUGCCCGCUCCUUCUACCCCAUGCUGCGGUAUACCAACGGGCCACCUCCCACCUAGAGGGUAGUUCUGCCAGCUG